rfam:Glossina palpalis gambiensis isolate 146720 unplaced genomic scaffold Scaffold102, whole genome shotgun sequence.
GGGGGUAGUUUUUAGUACGAAGGCGCCAUGGAUCGCGAAUCGUGCUUGUUGCUACUAAGAACCAGCAGUAUCGCUUGAAGAUUUUCUACCUCC